rnacentral:rRNA from 1 species
GAUGAACGCUAGCGGCAGGCCUAACACAUGCAAGUCGAGGGGCAGCACAUAAAGUGGUUUACUACUUUUGGUGGCGACCGGCGGACGGGUGCGUAACGCGUAUGCAACCUGCCUCCAACAGGGGGAUAACGGAGAGAAAUUUCCACUAAUACCCCAUAAUAUCAGAAUCGGCAUCGGUUUUGGUUGAAAACUCCGGUGGUUGGAGAUGGGCAUGCGUUGUAUUAGAUAGUUGGUGAGGUAACGGCUCACCAAGUCAACGAUACAUAGGGGGACUGAGAGGUUAGCCACCCACACUGGUACUGGGACACGGACCAGACUCCUACGGGAGGCAGCAGUGAGGAAUAUUGGUCAAUGGGGGCAACCCUGAACCAGCCAUGCCGAGUGCAGGAAGACGGCUCUAUGAGUUGUAAACUGCUUUUACAAGGGGAUAAAUCGGUGUACGUGUACAUCGUUGAAGGUACCUUGGGAAUAAGGAUCGGCUAACUCCGUGCCAGCCGCCGCAGUAA